rnacentral:rRNA from 1 species
GACGAACGCUGGCGGCGUGCUUAACACAUGCAAGUCGAACGGAAAGGCCCUGCUUUUGUGGGGUGCUCGAGUGGCGAACGGGUGAGCAACACGUGAGUAACCUGCCCUUGACUUUGGGAUAACUUCAGGAAACUGGGGCUAAUACCGGAUAGGAGCUCCUGCUGCAUGGUGGGGGUUGGAAAGUUUCGGCGGUUGGGGAUGGACUCGCGGCUUAUCAGCUUGUUGGUGGGGUAGUGGCUUACCAAGGCUUUGACGGGUAGCCGGCCUGAGAGGGUGACCGGCCACAUUGGGACUGAGAUACGGCCCAGACUCCUACGGGAGGCAGCAGUAGGGAAUAUUGCACAAUGGGCGGAACCUGAUGCAGCAACGCCGCGUGCGGGAUGACGGCCUUCGGGUUGUAAACCGCUUUCGCCUGUGACGAAGCGUGAGUGACGGUAAUGGGUAAAGAAGCACCGGCUAACUACGUG